rnacentral:rRNA from 1 species
AGCGUUGUCCGGAAUUAUUGGGCGUAAAGGGCUCGCAGGCGGUUUCUUAAGUCUGAUGUGAAAGCCCCCGGCUCAACCGGGGAGGGUCAUUGGAAACUGGGAAACUUGAGUGCAGAAGAGGAGAGUGGAAUUCCACGUGUAGCGGUGAAAUGCGUAGAGAUGUGGAGGAACACCAGUGGCGAAGGCGACUCUCUGGUCUGUAACUGACGCUGAGGAGCGAAAGCGUGGGGAGCGAACAGGAUUAGAUACCCUGGUAGUCCACGCCGUAAACGAUGAGUGCUAAGUGUUAGGGGGUUUCCGCCCCUUAGUGCUGCAGCUAACGCAUUAAGCACUCCGCCUGGGGAGUACGGUCGCAAGACUGAAACUCAAAGGAAUUGACGGGGGCCCGCACAAGCGGUGGAGCAUGUGGUUUAAUUCGAAGCAACGCGAAGAACCUUACCAGGUCUUGACAUCCUCUGACAACCCUAGAGAUAGGGCUUUCCCUUCGGGGACAGAGUGACAGGUGGUGCAUGGUUGUCGUCAGCUCGUGUCGUGAGAUG